rnacentral:rRNA from 1 species
GACGAACGCUGGCGGCGUGCUUAACACAUGCAAGUCGAACGAGACGAUUGAAAGCUUGCUUUUGAAAGUCGAGUGGCAAACGGGUGAGUAACGCGUAGACAACCUGCCUUUGAGAUGGGGACAACAGUUCGAAAGGACUGCUAAUACCGAAUGUUGUAUAUUUUCCACAUGGAAGAUAUAUUAAAGAUGGCCUCUAUUUAUAAGCUAUCGCUCAAAGAUGGGUCUGCGUCUGAUUAGCUGGUUGGUGGGGUAACGGCCUACCAAGGCGACGAUCAGUAGCCGGUCUGAGAGGAUGAACGGCCACAUUGGGACUGAGACACGGCCCAGACUCCUACGGGAGGCAGCAGUGGGGAAUCUUCCACAAUGGACGAAAGUCUGAUGGAGCAACGCCGCGUGAGUGAAGAAGGGUUUCGGCUCGUAAAGCUCUGUUGUCGGGGACGAAUGUGCAGUAUUUGAAUAAAGUACUGUAAUGACGGUACCUGACGAGGAAGCCACGGCUAACUACGUGCCAGCCGCCGCGGUAA